UUUUGGACGUCCAUUCCUCUAUUAAAAUUGCACUAACAAAAAAUAUAUAAAAAAUAUUUUCAAUAAAAUAAAAUGACCAAUAUACCCCUAAAAGUUUCAAGGGGUAUUUUGGUUAUUAUAUUUUAUCGAAAAAAUAUUGUUAAUAUUUUUCAUAGGUGAACCCCAAUGAGAAGAUGACACGUACCAAAUUUUAUAUUUUGAAAAUUUGUAAUAAAAAUACUAAAAAUAAAAUACUUUGAAAUGUCAAAUCUAAGAUCAAAUGGUUAGUGGUUCUCUUGAUAAAAAAAUGGACUGCUAGAUGAUAG
rnacentral:lncRNA from 1 species